rnacentral:rRNA from 1 species
AGCGAACGCUGGCGGCAGGCCUAACACAUGCAAGUCGAGCGGCCGUAGCAAUACGGCAGCGGCAGACGGGAUAGUAACACGUGGGAACGCGCCCUUCGGUUCGGAAUAACUCAGGGAAACUUGAGCUAAUACCGGAUACGCCUUACGGGAAGAUUUAUUGCCGAAGGAACGGCCCGCGUCCGAUUAGCUAGUUGGUGAGGUAAUGGCUCACCAAGGCGACGAUCGGUAGCUGGUCNGAGAGGAUGACCAGCAUCACUGGGACUGAGACACGGCCCAGACUCCUACGGGAGGCAGCAGUGGGGAAUAUUGGACAAUGGGCGCAAGCCUGAUCCAGCCAUGCCGCGUGGAUGAUGAAGGCCUUA